rnacentral:rRNA from 1 species
UACGUAGGGGGCAAGCGUUGUCCGGAAUCAUUGGGCGUAAAGAGCGUGUAGGCGGCCAGAUAAGUCCGCUGUGAAAUCUCGAGGCUCAACUUCGAGCUGUCGGUGGAAACUGUCUGGCUAGAGUCCGGAAGAGGAGAAUGGAAUUCCUGGUGUAGCGGUGAAAUGCGCAGAUAUCAGGAAGAACACCCGUGGCUAAGGCGGCUCUCUAGUACGGUACUGACGCUGAGACGCGAAAGCUAGGGGAGCAAACAGG